rnacentral:rRNA from 1 species
UACGGAGGGUGCAAGCGUUAUCCGGAUUCACUGGGCUUAAAGGGCGCGUAGGUGGGCAUGUAAGUCAGUGGUGAAAUCUCCGGGCUUAACCCGGAAACUGCCAUUGAUACUAUUUGUCUUGAAUACUGUGGAGGUCAGCGGAAUAUGUCAUGUAGCGGUGAAAUGCUUAGAUAUGACAUAGAACACCAAUUGCGAAGGCAGCUGGCUACACAAAUAUUGACACUGAGGCACGAAAGCGUGGGGAUCAAACAGG